rnacentral:rRNA from 1 species
UACGAAGGGGGCGAGCGUUAUUCGGAAUCACUGGGCGUAAAGCGUACGUAGGCUGUUCUGCAAGUCAGGAGUGAAAGCCCAAGGCUCAACCUAGGAAUUGCGCUUGAGACUGGAUAGCUUGGAGUGCGGCAGAGGGAGGUGGAAUUCCACGUGUAGCAGUGAAAUGCGUAGAGAUGUGGAGGAACACCGAUGGCGAAGGCAGCCUCCUGGGCCAGCACUGACGCUCAUGCACGAAAGCGUGGGGAGCAAACAGG